AUACGGAGGAUGCGAGCGUUAUCCGGAUUUAUUGGGUUUAAAGGGAGCGUAGGUGGGAUAUUAAGUCAGCUGUGAAAGUUUGGGGCUCAACCUUCAAAUUGCAGUUGAUACUGGUUUCCUUGAGUACGGAACAGGUGGGCGGAAUUCGUGGUGUAGCGGUGCACUGCUUAGAUAUCACGAAGAACUCCGAUCGCGAAGGCAGCUCGCCGCAUCGGAACAGACACUGAGACGCGAAAGUGCGGUUGUCAGACAGGAUCACAGCCCAUGAUAGGCCGCACAGUAAGCGAUGCAUCCGCGGUGUUUCCGAUACUCUGUACGCGGCCAAGCGAAAGCGCUUCGUAUUCCAGCUGGGGUGCAUACCAGUAUCGGUGAAGCUCACAUGAUUUGACGGGG
rnacentral:rRNA from 1 species